CAUAGCGACUAUCGUGGCAUAUCAAUAAGCGGAGGAAAAGAAACUAACAAGGAUUCCCUUAGUAACGGCGAGUGAAGCGGGAAGAGCUCAAAUUUGAAAUCUUCAAGGUUUUACCUUGACGAAUUGUAGUUUAAAGAAGUGUUUUCUGUUGGAGUUUUGGUAAAAGUUCUUUGGAAUAGGACAUCAUAGAGGGUGAGAAUCCCGUAUUUGAUCGUUACUUUCCAGCUGUGUGAUACACUUUCAAAGAGUCGGAUUGUUUGGGAAUGCAGUCCAAAAUGGGUGGUAAAUUUCAUCUAAAGCUAAAUAUUGGCGAGAGACCGAUAGCGAACAAGUACCGUGAGGGAAAGAUGAAAAGAACUUUGAAAAGAGAGUUAAACAGUACGUGAAAUUGUCAAAAGGGAAGCGUUUGACACCAGUGUUGUUUAUCGAAAAUCAAUUAAAAAAGGCCGGAUUUUGUGUUGUAUUGACCUUAAAAGCUUUCUUCACUCUUUUCUUGUCUUUUUUAACUGCACUUUUCGUUUAACAAGUCAACAUCAGUUUCUUUUGUUGUAAAAGGGUCAUUGGAAGGUGGCUUUCUUUUCGGAGAAAGUGUUUAUAGCCUUUGAUCUCUGCAACCGGAGAGACUGAGGUCUGCAGCGUAGACUCUUCGGGGUUAGAUACAUUUGUGCUAAGCUAUAGCUUUUUAUAGACAACUUGUUGACUAUAUUUAGUCUUGUGGCUUACUCGCUUAUGCUAUUUUACCUACGCUUAGGAUGUUGAUAUGCAUGACUGAUAU
rnacentral:rRNA from 1 species